rfam:Plasmodium gonderi DNA, contig: Chr05.
AACCUGGUUGAUCUUGCCAGUAGUCAUAUGCUUGUCUCAAAGAUUAAGCCAUGCAAGUGAAAGUAUAUGCAUAUUAUAAUAUGCAGAAACUGCGAACGGCUCAUUAAAACAGUUAUAAUCUACUUGACAUUUUUUUAAUAUAAGGAUAACUACGGAAAAGCUGUAGCUAAUACUUGCUUUAAUAUUCUUGAUUAAGUUCUUGAGUAUGUAUUUGUUAAGUCUUAUAAGAAAAAAGUUAUUAACUUAAGGAAUUAUAACAAAGAAGUAACACGUAAUAAACUUAGUUUAUUUUAGUGUGUAUCAAUCGAGUUUCUGACCUAUCAGCUUUUGAUGUUAGGGUAUUGGCCUAACAUGGCAAUGACGGGUAACGGGGAAUUAGAGUUCGAUUCCGGAGAGGGAGCCUGAGAAAUAGCUACUACAUCUAAGGAUGGCAGCAGGCGCGUAAAUUACCCAAUUCUAAUGAAGAGAGGUAGUGACAAGAAAUAACAAUACAAGACCAAAUCUGGUUUUGUAAUUG